UCGUAACAAGGUUUCCGUAGGUGAACCUGCGGAAGGAUCAUUACCGAGUGCGGGCCCUCGCGGCCCAACCUCCCACCCUUGUCUCUAUACACCUGUUGCUUUGGCGGGCCCACCGGGGCCACCCGGUCGCCGGGGGACGCUCGUCCCCGGGCCCGCGCCCGCCGAAGCGCUCCAAGAACCCUGAUGAAGAUGGGCUGUCUGAGUACUAUGAAAAUUGUCAAAACUUUCAACAAUGGAUCUCUUGGUUCCGGCAUCGAUGAAGAACGCAGCGAAAUGCGAUAAGUAAUGUGAAUUGCAGAAUUCCGUGAAUCAUCGAAUCUUUGAACGCACAUUGCGCCCCCUGGCAUUCCGGGGGGCAUGCCUGUCCGAGCGUCAUUUCUGCCCUCAAGCACGGCUUGUGUGUUGGGUGUGGUCCCCCCGGGGACCUGCCCGAAAGGCAGCGGCGACGUCCGUCUGGUCCUCGAGCGUAUGGGGCUUUGUCACUCGCUCGGGAAGGACCUGCGGGGGUUGGUCACCACCAUAUUUUACCACGGUUGACCUCGGAUCAGGUAGGAGUUACCCGCUGAACUUAAGCAUAUCAAUAA
rnacentral:misc_RNA from 1 species